AGAGGGUGCAAACGUUGCUCGGAUUUACUGGGCGUAAAGCGCGUGUAGGCGGACUCGCAAGUCGGUUGUGAAAUCCCUGGGCUCAACCUAGGAACUGCAUCCGAAACUGCUUGUCUUGAGUAAUGGAGAGGGUGGCGGAAUUCCCGGUGUAGAGGUGAAAUUCGUAGAUAUCGGGAGGAACAUCAGUGGCGAAGGCGGCCACCUGGACAUUUACUGACGCUGAGACGCGAAAGCGUGGGGAGCAAACAGGGAUUAGAUACCCUGGUAGUCCACGCCGUAAACGAUGAGCACUAGGUGCAGCGGAUAUUGACCUCUGCUGUGCCGUAGCUAACGCGUUAAGUGCUCCGCCUGGGAGUACGGCCGCAAGGCUA
rnacentral:rRNA from 1 species